rnacentral:rRNA from 1 species
AACGCUAGCUACAGGCUUAACACAUGCAAGUCGAGGGGAAACGAUAUUGGAAGCUUGCUUCCGAUAGGCGUCGACCGGCGCACGGGUGAGUAACGCGUAUCCAACCUGCCCACCACUUGGGGAUAACCUUGCGAAAGUAAGACUAAUACCCAAUGAUAUCUCUAGAAGACAUCUGAAAGAGAUUAAAGAUUCAUCGGUGAUGGAUGGGGAUGCGUCUGAUUAGCUUGUUGGCGGGGUAACGGCCCACCAAGGCAACGAUCAGUAGGGGUUCUGAGAGGAAGGUCCCCCACAUUGGAACUGAGACACGGUCCAAACUCCUACGGGAGGCAGCAGUGAGGAAUAUUGGUCAAUGGACGAGAGUCUGAACCAGCCAAGUAGCGUGCAGGAAGACGGCCUUAUGGGUUGUAAACUGCUUUUAUAAGGGAAUAAAGUGAGUCUCGUGAGACUUUUUGCAUGUACCUUAUGAAUAAGGACCGGCUAAUUCCGUGCCAGCAGCCGCGGUAAUACGGAAGGUCCGGGCGUUAUCCGGAUUUAUUGGGUUUAAAGGGAGCGUAGAUGGAUGUUUAAGUCAGUUGUGAAAGUUUGCGGCUCAACCGUAAAAUUGCAGUUGAUACUGGAUAUCUUGAGUGCAGUUGAGGCAGGCGGAAUUCGUGGUGUAGCGGUGAAAUGCUUAGAUAUCACGAAGAACUCCGAUUG